CCGGCAGUACAACUUCUUUGCUGAGAGACAAUGGAGAGACCCUGGCAGCUGUUCCCACGCCUGCUGCUACUGCUGGUGAACAUUCCCUGGGGGAGCUGCCAGGCCGAGGUGCACCAGAAUCUGUCUGCGGUCACUCGGGAAGGGCAGAACGGCAGCAUCUCUUGCCACUACAAGACGAGUAAUUUUGGGAGUUUGCAGUGGUUCAGACAGCUGCCCGGAGGCCAGCCUGUCUCCCUGCUGAUUCUGGUGUCCAAUGGGAAACAAACCAAGGAGUCCAACCUCAGCGCGGAGCUCGACAAGGAGAAGCAGCUGAGUUCUCUGCACAUCAGAGAAUCACAGCUGGGAGAUGCAGCCACCUACUUCUGCGCCGUGGCGACACAGUGACACAGGAGCACUGGCAGCCUGUGCAAAAACUUCCCAGCUGGAGGGUAACUGUGAGGCUGGCUGGCGGCACAACACCACGUACUUCUUACACAGUGCAUCUCUGAGCGUGCUUCUCCUUCCAUUACA